AUUGGACGCUGGCGGAAUGCUUUACACAUGCAAGUCGAACGGCAGCACGGACUUCGGUCUGGUGGCGAGUGGCGAACGGGUGAGUAAUGUAUCGGAGCGUGCCCAGUCGUGGGGGAUAACGUAGCGAAAAUUACGCUAAUACCGCAUACGAUCUAAGGAUGAAAGCGGGGGAUCGCAAGACCUCGCGCGAAUGGAGCGGCCGAUGGCAGAUUAGGUAGUUGGUAGGGUAAAGGCCUACCAAGCCGACGAUCUGUAGCUGGUCUGAGAGGAUGGUCAGCCACACUGGGACUGAGACACGGCCCAGACUCCUACGGGAGGCAGCAGUGGGGAAUUUUGGACAAUGGACGCAAGUCUGAUCCAGCCAUUCCGCGUGCAGGAUGAAGGCCCUCGGGUUGUAAACUGCUUUUGUAUAGAACGAAAAGGCUCUGGUUAAUACCUGGGGCUCAUGACGGUACUGUAAGAAUAAGCACCGGCUAACUACGUGCCAGCCGCCGCCGUAA
rnacentral:rRNA from 1 species